rnacentral:rRNA from 1 species
GAGUUUGAUCAUGGCUCAGGAUGAACGCUAGCGGGAGGCUUAACACAUGCAAGCAGAGGGGUAUAAGAGAGCUUGCUUUCUUAGAGACCGGCGAACGGGUGCGUAACGCGUAUGCAACCUACCUAUAUCAAGGGGAUAGCCCUUGGAAACGAGGAUUAAUACUUUAUAACAAUAGAAACAGCAUUGUUUUUAUUUGAAAGAUUUAUCGGAUAUAGAUGGGCAUGCGUAAGAUUAGAUAGUUGGUGGGGUAAUGGCUCACCAAGUCUACGAUCUUUAGGGGGCCUGAGAGGGUGAACCCCCACACUGGUACUGAGACACGGACCAGACUCCUACGGGAGGCAGCAGUGAGGAAUAUUGGACAAUGGGUGAGAGCCUGAUCCAGCCAUCCCGCGUGUAGGAUGACGGCCCUAUGGGUUGUAAACUACUUUUAUACAGGAAGAACAUACGGUACGUGUACCGUACUGACGGUACUGUAGGAAUAAGCACCGGCUAACUCCGUGCCAGCAGCCGCGGUAA